AAGUCGUAACAAGGUUGCUGUAGGGGAACCUGCGGCAGGAUCAUACUGUAGGUUGGGGUGGGCUGGAGCGUAGGGGUGCGAGAGCGCCUCUCGCUUCUGGCUCCACUUCCAAAAACCCAUGUGAACAGUGAUGACCAGGCGGAGCAGAGUGCUGCUGGGUGUUGUAGCCCAGCAAGGCCUCUCUCCGCCAUGGGCAAGAAUACCUUUUCGAUGUGUUGCAGCAAUGCUUGAUUGAAAAAUUUUAAUGUGACAACCUUUAACAACGGAUCUCUUGGCUCUU
rnacentral:misc_RNA from 1 species